CCUACGGGUGGCAGCAGUGGGGAAUAUUGGGCAAUGGGCGCAAGCCUGACCCAGCAACGCCGCGUGAAGGAAGAAGGCUUUCGGGUUGUAAACUUCUUUUCUCAGGGACGCAGAAAGUGACGGUACCUGAGGAAUAAGCUACGGCUAACUACGUGCCAGCAGGAGCGGUCAUACGUAGGUGGCAAGCGUUAUCCGGUUUUAGUGGGUGUAAAGGGCGUGUCGGCGGGUAUGCAAGGCGGAUGUGAAAACCAUGGGCUCAUCCCGUUGCCUGCAGUUGAAACUGGUUGUCUUGAGUACGAGAGAGGCAGACGGAAUUCCUAGUGUAGCGGUGAAAUGCGUAGAUAGUAGGAGGAACACCAGUGGCGAAGGCGGUCUGCUGGACAGCAACUGACGCUGAGGCGCGAAAGCGUGGGGAGCAAACAGGAUUAGAGACCCGGGUAGUC
rnacentral:rRNA from 1 species